UACGUAGGGAGCAAGCGUUGUCCGGAAUCAUUGGGCGUAAAGCGCGCGUAGGCGGCCCUGUAAGUCCGUUGUGAAAGUCAAAGGCUCAACCUUUGAAAGCCGAUGGAUACUGCAGGGCUAGAGUCCGGAAGAGGCGAGUGGAAUUCCUGGUGUAGCGGUGGAAUGCGCAGAUAUCAGGAGGAACACCAAUAGCGAAGGCAGCUCGCUGGGACGGUACUGACGCUAAGGCGCGAAAGCGUGGGGAGCGAACAGGA
rnacentral:rRNA from 1 species